GACCAGGCCCAAAGCUCCGUCCACACCUGGUUCUCGCCCGGCCUUUGGAACAGAACGUCGCACACACGGAAAAAGGCCUCCCUAAGUGACUGGGUCACUCCAUAAGGAUCUUCUUUCUGCUGCAGAGUCUAGAACCUCUAACCAAGGUCUUCCUUUAUGCUUGGGAAGGAAACAAUCACCAAGCACAGGAGACUCAUCGUGCGCAGAGCGGUCCGCAAUCUGCUUCUGCGAAACAAUGCGGUAGAUCUCUGCAAUGAGAACACACUGCUCAGAGCACAGAAGGACGUGGCCUCCAACACAGCACACGUCAGAGCAAGCUGUCAGAGGUGAUGCAAGAACCCAAGAGCAAGGAAGAUUUUAACUUGAGAGCUGUGAAAGGGAAUCCAGUCUCAGCAGCUGUGGUAUGUAACAUCUGGCUGGCUUUCCAGCUUUGUAAUGGACACGUCAGCUCUGUCUGGAAAAGUUAUUAAGACGUGAUUCCUUACUGCCUUCCACCACAGUGCUUUGUAUCACGUUCUUGUGACUCCAUGAACAUAGGUAUUAAAAAGCUUCUUAAAUGAGAAAGGAGA
rnacentral:lncRNA from 14 species